rnacentral:rRNA from 1 species
UACGUAGGUGGCAAGCGUUGUCCGGAAUUAUUGGGCGUAAAGGGCGCGUAGGCGGCCUCUUAAGUCAGAUGUGAAAACCCCGGGCUUAACUUGGGAACUGCAUCUGAUACUGGGAGGCUAGAGUGCAGGAGAGGUAAGUGGAAUUCCUAGUGUAGCGGUGAAAUGCGUAGAUAUUAGGAGGAACACCAGUGGCGAAGGCGACUUACUGGACUGUAACUGACGCUGAGGCGCGAAAGCGUGGGGAGCAAACAGG